UUUUAUUGAUUCCUGUAUCCUCUAAAAAAUUAGGAAAGUGUUUGUUUAAUUCUGGAGAAAUAUUUCACAUUGCUGAAAUAGUUUAUUAGGACAGUGUCUAGCACGACUCAAGUAUAAUAAAUAUCUAUAUCUAUCUAUAUCUAUAUCUAUAAUCUAUAUCUAUAAUAAUAUAUUAAAAGUGUGAAGGGCAUUAGAAAUAUUGAUUGAACUUUUUGCCCUUCAUUAUAAUACUCCGCAAUAGACAAAAUCAUCUUUUCACCUUAUUUUUUUCAAUUAUUAAUUGAUUAUUGUAAAAUUACAGAGUCCUAAUAAAUUUUGGAGACAGAAAUUUAAUUGAAUUCAAAGUAUAAUUUGUAUUAGGACUUUUAUGCUAUAACCAAGUAAUGAGUCCUACAAUUAUGGAGUUUUAUUUUGCCCAAAAAUAAUUGUAUUAAUACCAAAAAUAAUGGUAGUUAUAACUCAAGAAAAUAAACAGUCACUUUACAAAUAACUAUAAAUUGGGCGGGUGGAUUGCACCAUGCGAAGAAAAGCGUUGCCUCUGGAUCUUGCUAUGUUAGUAAUACUGAUCUUGGAAUUCCAAUCUUCAUAGGAAUUAUCGAAGAGAUGAUAUUUACUGAAAGACGAUAUAUGGAUAGAUCAGUACGCGCAAGGCGGUUGAUUUGAUCUUUGUUUACGAAUAUGUUUUGGGUGAGAGAGAGAGAAAUGUAUAGGGAUCGAGGUGGUGGUUGAUCGAGGUCAGAGAUCAUCGGAGGACCGUUGGAUCGAAAACAAAUUAAGGAUGGAUUGGAUAAAUACUUGAAAAAAUCUGCACCUUCUACAUCUAGAGCUUUGAAGAACAAGUGAUCAGAUGAUGAAUCUAAAACAGACAGUAAAGACUCUGAUGUUAGUGCUUUCCAUACAUCGUGGAUUUUAAUCUCUCUGGAUUGAGGCAUUGAACAGUCAAGUGCCAUAUUAUGAAUGUGCAGUUGACCUUGUUUUUGAUGUCAAAACCUCUCAUGGUGGUAUGUUCACCGAGAACCAGAAUGAAUUGGUUGAGUCAGCAACAGAGAUGUUGUAUGGUUUGAUCUAUGUUACGUGCAUUUUGAGUAGCUAGGGAAUGGUUGCAAUAUCAUAGAAUUACAAGAACUAUGACUUUGGGAGAUCUCCACUAGUUUAUUGCUUUGGACAACUUUGCCUUUCAGUUGGUUAGUUUGAUAUUCCAUGUUCAAGUACGGUAAAAAUAUAUUGUCCUAAAUGUGAGGAUAUUUUUUUUACCCCGAUCAAAAUACCAAGGUAAUAUCGAUGGAGCUUACUUUGAAACAACGUUUUCACACCUUAUUUUGAUAACUUAUGGACACCUCAAUACACAAAAACUGACACAAAAUUAUGUUCUCAUUAUAUUUGGUUUCAAGCUAGCUCCACAAAACUUAAUAGUGAAGUUCUUUGUGAGAUAUUACAUUCUUCUGCCAUGAAUGGUUAAUUCUUACCCGGAUAUGAUGCACAAUUCGUUGUGGUAGAGCCCACAUAAAAAUGGAAAGUGUUCUAGAUAUGAUAAACUUGAUUCAUCAAUCAAAGAAGCAACUAUGACCAAUCUGUCAAGUGAAAUUCAUCUUUAAAAUUUCAUCAUGAAGUA